CGUAUGCAGAGCUGGGGCCCACAGAGGUCACCGUGCGGGUGUGCCCUUUAUUCCUGACAGAGGCGGGUCAGAGGACAUCCCUUAGAGGGAAGGCCAGGUGGGCCUCUUGCCUGAACCCGCAUGAGACAGGGGUGGAUGGGCUGAGCAUGCCCUGGGGACCCUGCCCCAAAUUACCAACCCCUCCCCGUGCGGAGCGAGGCAGGAGUUAGAGCGAUGGGUCCUCCCCCCAUGGAAAGAGCCCCAGGGGUUGGGGAGAAGGGUCCCCACUUCUCCACAUUCUGUCUCGCUACCAAGGCCUUUGCCUCACACCCUGGUCAGCCGGGGGAGCUGCCCUCGAUGGAGGACAGUCCUGUCUCUCUUUAUGAGGUCACUCCCAGUGUCGGGGCAGCCUGGGUGCACCCUCAGGAUGAGUGAAGCCGGCCCCAAGGCCCCUUUGUACCAAAGCUGACGAUUCACUUGUCUGUUUGCAUCCCCCGCCAUGUCCGCCCCACUGUCCACACGACGUGGAAGAGGGUCGUGACAGCAGCAUGAAGACUUUCCAGAAUAACACAGUGUCCAAAUGUGAGCACCAAUCUCCCACAACCACGUUUCUGGAGAGAAAAGCACGUAGAUGAAAUCCCCUCUCAAAUUACAGAUCAAAGAAGCCGGCCUUUCCCUGUGCUUGGAUCUCCUCCUGGUGUGUGCUUCUCGGAGGACCUGCACGGAUGCAACACAGAAACGAGAGAGACCGUUGGAUAGCAGAACGGGGCAUCACUUCCACCCGACAUACCCCACCCUCUUUUCUCACCAUACGUGGCACCCGGCACCUGAGAUCCCAACAACGUUCACGGUUUUCAUUUCCUUUGAUGUCCCCUCAUUAGAAGUUAUGCUCUGUGACCUCACGGGCCUCGUGUCCUGUUCUCUGUUGUACUCUGAGUGCCCAGACUGUGCCUGCACACAGUAGGGCCCAAUGAAUAUGCGGGGAAUGAAUGAAUGAAUGAAUGAAUGCAUGAAUAGGCGAAGGGAGACAGAAU
rnacentral:lncRNA from 1 species